rnacentral:rRNA from 1 species
UACGAAGGGGGCUAGCGUUGUUCGGAAUCACUGGGCGCAAGGGCGCGUAGGCGGCCGUUCAAGUCGGGGGUGAAAGCCUGUGGCUCAACCACAGAAUUGCCUUCGAUACUGUUCGGCUCGAGACCGGAAGAGGUUGGUGGAACUGCGAGUGUAGAGGUGUAAUUCGUAGAUAUUCGCAAGAACACCGGUGGCGAAGGCGGCCAACUGGUCCGGUUCUGACGCUGAGGCGCGAAAGCGUGGGGAGCAAACAGG